rnacentral:tRNA from 1 species
GGGGGUAUAGCUCAGCUGGGAGAGCGCUUCGCUGGCAGCGAAGAGGUCGCAGGUUCGAUCCCUGUUACCUCCACCA